rfam:Cucumis melo, WGS project CAJI01000000 data, contig: 16082
AUACCUUUCUCGGCCUUUUGGCUAAGAUCAAGUGUAGUAUCUGUUCUUAUCAGUUUAAUAUCUGAUACGUGGGCCAUCGGCCCACAUGAUAUUAAAUUUAUUUUUUAAGGGGGAGAGCUCACCACGGUAGCUUGCUACUCCAGCUCUCGAGUGUCGCCCAGGCCUUCCACUACAGCUCGGGCCUGGCGCACCCCUC